rnacentral:rRNA from 1 species
GCAUCGAUGAAGAACGCAGCGAACUGCGAUAAGUAAUGUGAAUUGCAGAAUUCAGUGAAUCAUCGAGUCUUUGAACGCACAUUGCGCCCCCUGGCAUUCCGGGGGGCAUGCCUGUCCGAGCGUCAUU